rnacentral:rRNA from 1 species
AGAUUGAACGCUGGCGGCAGGCCUAACACAUGCAAGUCGAGCGGUAGAGAGGUGCUUGCACCUCUUGAGAGCGGCGGACGGGUGAGUAAUGCCUAGGAAUCUGCCUAGUGGUGGGGGAUAACGUUCGGAAACGGACGCUAAUACCGCAUACGUCCUACGGGAGAAAGCGGGGGACCUUCGGGCCUCGCGCCAUUAGAUGAGCCUAGGUCGGAUUAGCUAGUUGGUGAGGUAAUGGCUCACCAAGGCGACGAUCCGUAACUGGUCUGAGAGGAUGAUCAGUCACACUGGAACUGAGACACGGUCCAAGACCUCCGUACGGGA